rnacentral:rRNA from 1 species
GGCGGCGUGCUUAACACAUGCAAGUGGAGCGACGAACCGGGGCUUGCCCCGGGGCAGAGCCGCGAACGGGUGAGUAACACGUGGGUAACCCACCCCGAUGAUUGGGACAACCCGGGGAAACUCGGGCUAAUACCAAAUGUGCUCGUAGACCAUGAGGUUCAUGAGUAAAGAUAGCUUCGGCCUUCGCAUCGGGACGGGCCCGCGGCCCAUUAGCUUGUUGGUGAGGUAACGGCUUACCAAGGCGACGAUGGGUAGCUGGUCUGAGAGGACGAUCAGCCACACUGGGACUGAGACACGGCCCAGACUCCUACGGGAGGCAGCAGUGGGGAAUCUUGCGCAAUGCGCGAAAGCGUGACGCAGCAACGCCGCGUGGAGGAAGACGGUCUUCGGAUUGUAAACUCCUUUCAGUUGGGACGAAGCUCAACGGGUCAAUAGUCCGGUGGAGUGACGGUACCUUCAGAAGAAGCCCCGGCCAACUACGUGCCAGCAGCCGCGGUAAUACGUAGGGGGCUAGCGUUGUCCGGAAUCAUUGGGCGUAAAGCGCGUGUAGGCGGUCCGGUAAGUCCGCUGUGAAAGUCGGGGGCUCAACCCUCGAAUGCCGGUGGAUACUGUCGGGCUAGAGUGCGGAAGAGGCGAGUGGAAUUCCUGGUGUAGCGGUGAAAUGCGCAGAUAUCAGGAGGAACACCAAUUGCGAAGGCAGCUCGCUGGGACGUUACUGACGCUGAGACGCGAAAGCGUGGGGAGCAAAC